GAGAGGGAGUGGGAACGAGGAAGCACACCUAUGAGGAACCUAACACUUUGUAAGCCACAGGGCUGCAUGUAACAUAGAGGGCAGAGGGCAAGAAUAACAAAAGAGCCGCAGCCUUGCAGUGAUCAGAAGGCAUUUAGUUCAAGCAGAGAACACUUGAGUGAAGUUUUGAUUGACCAGGAUCCAGAGGAUCCUUUAGACCGAGCACAGGUCACUUCAGCUGACCGGGAGGCACAUAGAGCAACCAGAAAACACUUUAAUCAGCCAGAGGGGCACUUUGGCUGGUCACAGGGCAGCAGAGGAACACAUCUGGGCCAAAUAGAGGACACUUUGCUUAACGAGAGGAGAUUCAGGCCAGCCAGAGGACACUUAAGCUGCCAGAGGACCUGUGGGGUUACCAGUAAACACUUGGGUUAAACUGAGUACACCUGGCUAGCUGAGGACGACUUGGGACAACCAGAGUAUGCCUGACCUGACAGGCACUUAGGGAUGGACUUUAGGUGACCAGAGGGGCCCUUGAGUGGCACUGGGGCCAAUGAGAAGAGCCCUUUUGCUAGGGAGAGGUAAUCUCAAGCAGCUCCAUGUCCCUCCAUAGUGACAUUCAUGCAAAAAUGAAGCAAGAGAUAUCCUGCUUAAAUAAAGAUUAAAACAAAGCACUUAUGUAUGUAGGUCAUGUGGAGCUUUAUCCUGAGCCGGGAACCGCUGGGACAUGAACGCCUGAAGUGAGACUCGCCAGUCCAGGUUCCCUCUCACAUGAGUCCACUUCCUGAAGGUGUUGGUAGGCGGGGCCUGAAUACUUGGAUCCUCCAAUUGGAUUUAGCCUUCCCCUGGCUAUGGGCGGGGUCCUGCGUGAAGCUGACCAAUGGGCUGUCCG